rnacentral:rRNA from 1 species
AGAGUGAACGCUGGCGGUAGGCCUAACACAUGCAAGUCGAACGGCAGCACAGUAGGAGCUUGCUCUUACGGGUGGCGAGUGGCGGACGGGUGAGGAAUACAUCGGAAUCUACCUUUUGGUGGGGGAUAACGUAGGGAAACUUACGCUAAUACCGCAUACGCCCUUCGGGGGAAAGCCGGGGACCAGCAAUGGCCUGGCGCUGAUAGAUGAGCCGAUGUCGGAUUAGCUAGUUGGUGAGGUAAUGGCUCACCAAGGCGACGAUCCGUAGCUGGUCUGAGAGGAUGAUCAGCCACACUGGAACUGAGACACGGUCCAGACUCCUACGGGAGGCAGCAGUGGGGAAUAGUUGGACAAUGGGACGCAAGCCUGAUCCAGCCAUACCGCGUGGUGAAGAAGGCCUUGGUGUAAAGCCCGUUUUAGUUAGGAAAGAAAGCGAAUUCGGUUAAUACCGGUGUUCUCGACGGUAACCCAAAGAA